CCUACGUGAGGCAGCAGUAGGGAAUCUUCCACAAUGGGCGAAAGCCUGAUGGAGCAACGCCGCGUGGGUGAAGAAGGUCUUCGGAUCGUAAAACCCUGUUGUUAGAGAAGAAAGUGCGUGAGAGUAACUGUUCACGUUUCGACGGUAUCUAACCAGAAAGCCACGGCUAACUACGUGCCAGCAGCCGCGGUAAUACGUAGGUGGCAAGCGUUAUCCGGAUUUAUUGGGCGUAAAGGGAAUGCAGGCGGUCUUUUAAGUCUGAUGUGAAAGCCUUCGGCUUAACCGGAGUAGUGCAUUGGAAACUGGUAGACUUGAGUGCAGAAGAGGAGAGUGGAACUCCAUGUGUAGCGGUGAAAUGCGUAGAUAUAUGGAAGAACACCAGUGGCGAAAGCGGCUCUCUGGUCUGUAACUGACGCUGAGGUUCGAAAGCGUGGGUAGCAAACAGGAUUAGAUACCCUUGUAGUC
rnacentral:rRNA from 1 species